rnacentral:rRNA from 1 species
UACAGAGACUGCAAGCGUUAUUCGGAUUCACUGGGCGUAAAGGGUGCGCAGGCGGUUGGGUGUGUCAGAUGUGAAAUCCCGAGGCUCAACCUCGGAACUGCGCCUGAAACUACUCGACUAGAGUACUGGAGAGGGUAACGGAAUUCACGGUGUAGCAGUGAAAUGCGUAGAUAUCGUGAGGAACACCAGAGGCGAAGGCGGUUACCCGGACAGUUACUGACGCUCAGGCACGAAAGCAUGGGGAGCAAAAGGG